rnacentral:lncRNA from 1 species
GGGAUAUAUUAUCAGCUUUGUACACAUUUUUAAUCACCUUGUUCAAAUCUGCAAUUUUCCUACUAAUUUGUGUUUGUAUUUGUUUUUAAGAUAGAUGUGUUGAAAUACUGGACUAUAAUUGUGGAAUCAUUUAUUUUUCUCUUGUUCCCAGCAGGUGACUAGAAACACUAGUAUUUCCAGACCAUUUGUGUCUACAUUCAGUUUAUACUGACCUAUAGAUGGGCUUGAGUUUUUAAAGUGACCAGGAUCUAUCUCCAAUUCCCAUUCUCCUUCACUUUGAACUGACAAUCUAAAACCAAGGACUUUAGCAGUACCAGAACCGCCUUCUCUACUUUUGGCAUGCUCAAAUGUUGUUAGUAAGCCAAGUUAAUUUUCUCAUAUACUUGCUUAAUUCUUAACUGAAAUUACCAGACCACUCAAAGGAAAUAGCAUCUGCCAAAUUCAAUGUGAAACUUUUGUCUAUUUAGGUUCACUCCCUGAUUUUAGUAUGUAAUACCUGCAAAUUAGAGUGCUUCACACACACACACACACACACACACAGUUUUCUCAGUAACUCUGAUGUAGAUUUUAUGUAAAUUUACUAAUGCUUUAUUACUCAAAGAUGAAAUUCUGAUUUUUCUUUAUUUUAAUGUGUUUAAUUUGAUUUUUAUUCUAUUUAUUUGUACAUAGUUAAUCUGUGUUACAACCCACAUAAUGUUUACUGUUUCCCUGAGCUAGGGCCGUGAGUCAGAUUAGAAUAUUAUAGGCAUGAGAAAUUUAAGAAAUAAGACAAAACAUGAAAAUAAGUGAAAUAGCGGGAUCCUAUGGGGACCAGUUCUCAUGGAGACUGGCUCUAACUCCCCAAAAUGGGUCCUAGGGUUUUAUUUAAAUGAAUGGGAACAACAAUGAGAUUCAGUGUGAAGAACUUCCUGAGGAAAUAGGAAGAUGUCAGAAACAACUGAGCUGGAGUUUAGCAGGUUGGGCCUGCCUCCUCGAUCUCUGGGGCUGCUGCAUUUGGCACCUAGGGCUGUGGCCUAAUGUUAUGGGCUGAUUUAAAAGCUAUGUCAGGCUGACCCCAUUCUGCUCAGACAUCUCAUCCGGUGCAAAUUAACCCCUCUAACUGAAGAGUGCUCCCACACGCAUAGAAGCUGACAUCCUCACCCAUUUGUACCUUGACCACAGUGUCUUUAAACUAUGGAGCCGGUGCUAGCUUACUUCCUGAGUGGGUAUGGGAGAUGCCAAUUCUGAGAACUUGGUGACAUUUUAUGAAAUGUAUCUUAUGAUUGUACUUGCCUCUCCUGCCUGCCUCCUUUGUGUUGUUCUGUUUAAAUGGCUCCUCCACUGCAUUCAGUGUGUUUGGCUGCAGAGAUGUCUGCUUUAUGCUCCCUUGGCCCUGGCUAAAAUAAAUCCUUUGUCUUUUCUUUAAAAACACCUGGAGUUUUAUUUGAGAUUUUAGAAUCUCACCUCAACACUAAGGUAGGGCGUCAGCAUAAUCAGG